UACAGGGGGGGCAAGCGUUGUUCGGAAUUACUGGGCGUAAAGGGCUCGUAGGCGGCCGGCUAAGUCCGACGUGAAAUCCCCAGGCUUAACCUGGGAACUGCGUCGGAUACUGGCGGGCUUGAAUCCGGGAGGGGGAUGCGGAAUUCCAGGUGUAGCGGUGAAAUGCGUAGAUAUCUGGAGGAACACCGGUGGCGAAGGCGGCAUCCUGGACCGGCAUUGACGCUGAAUAGCGAAAGCCAGGGGAGCAAACGGG
rnacentral:rRNA from 1 species